CGCAGAGCCCCUCCUUGCCCUUCCUGAACUCUGUAGUGGGGGCUGAUCCCUGCAGGCUGUGUGUCCCAGGCUCCUGCUCUGCGGGCUUCUGACUGGAUUUGGCAGGCAGAAAAUCCUGCUCAGCUGAGCACCAGGGAAGAGACUCAGCUGCCACGUGUUGGAAGACACUCCUCCAGACCUCUCAGUAGGUAACUAAAGAGCCGCACGGGCCCCAAAGGCCUGAAAACCCAGGUCCAACAUCCAAGCUGUACAGCAACCUUUCACCGACAUCUCCUCCAUGCCAGGCCCCAUGCUGCGUAUUGAGGUUACAGAUCCAUCCCAGACUUCACAGAGCAUCUGGGAGCCCAGCUGCUGCAGCUCCAUUUCCUGGUGUGGGUCUUCAACAGAGAAUGGAGCACAAAGGAGAUCAGUAAAACCCCACUCUUAAAUAUUGAAUGAUCCAGAGGGGAGAAAAAAGGGAAAGCAACUUUAUUGAACACCUACUAUACACUGGUUACCAUGUUAGGCAUUGUAUUUCUGAUAGCUCAUUUAAUUAUCACAAAACCCCGGGGAGGAGUUAGUCUCACCGUGACAGAUUAGGAAACAAGGCUUGGAGAACGUAAACACCAUCUCCAAGGUUCUUCAGCCCAACAGAUAUGCAAUGAGUAUCCUCUGUGUAUCCAGCACUGUACUGAGGCUGGAGAGGCAGAGGUAAGAAAGUGGUUUCUGCCCAUAGAGAGUUCACAGUCUAAUGGUGGAGGCAGGCAGCCAAUAGCCUACUGCAGUAUUACAAAGAUGAAUGAGGAGGAGGGCCCCUGAUUCAGCUUCACUGAGGUGUGGAAGCCCAGAGGGAUGCUGAGCUCAGGUUGGAUGCUUGAACUGGGUCAGGAACAGAACUCAGCCCAACGGGAGGUGACAGGCACUCCGCAGAGGAAAGGUACAGGUUUGUUCCAGAGCCUGGGGCAGGCAGGGAAACCCUAGUGAGUUUGGAAUGACUGGAGCAUGACAGCUGCAUCCGGGGAAGCAUGGGCCACUGAGGCAGCAGAGGGAAACCAGGGUGUUCCAGGAGCACAUUCUCUGAACGAUGAACAAAAGGCCCAUUCUCCUUCAUUAAGAACUGACUAGGGCUGGGCGCAGUGGCUCACGCCUGUAAUCCUAACACUUUGGGAGGCCAAGGAAGACACAUCACU